rnacentral:snRNA from 1 species
UCCGUCCAAGGCUAAAUACGGGCG